GCAAGGGUUGGUCACCAUAACAAUUGUUUGGAUAAUUGAGCUUCACAUGGGACUGUUUCUCAAACUCCCAUUUGGGAAUUCAGGCUUUGCUCCGAUAACUGAUCUCUCUGAUGCAUACGCAGACAAACCACUAGAGCCCUACAAGCUGGGCCAGCUAGUUCAGGGCUACGUUAUCGCGAAGGAAAAUGGGAUUUUUUUAACGUCCCUCCAGAGAUGAGCAGGAGAAUGUGUGGGUGGCCGUGUUAAAUCUGGAGUAAAUCGUGUACGGGACACAAGAAAGAUUGCAGAAAGUCUUUGAACGGGCCAACCAGUUCUGUGAACCUCUUCCUGUGCUCCAGCAGCUAGCCGACAUUUACGUCAAGAUCAAAAUAUGGACCUGAUUGUCAAAUUUGCCCGGCUGAAGUUUCAGUACAAGAACGCUGAGAGAGCCAAAUCCAUGUUUGACAAGGUCCUGAGUACUUACACCAAACGCACAAACCUGUGGUCCAUAUUCAUACACUUGAUGGUGAAGUAUGGCUCUCUGAAGGAAGUGAGAGAGCUUUUUGAUCAUGUCAGUGAAGAAGAUUAAGUUCUUCUUCAAGCUUUACCUGGAGUACAAGAAGAAGAACGGCUCACCUGAGAUCAUCCAAGCGGUCAAUCAGAAAGCCCUAGGAUAUGUGGAGACGAAAGGAGCAGAAGCUGCCAGGAUAUUUGAGGACAAAGAAUCUUUUUGCCACCCACCCAUAUUUAAUCCAUCUGCUUUUUUUCCUUAUUUGCUUUUUUGUUAUCACCUGUGCACCUAUUUUCAUAUUGCUGGAGGUGCAUUUGCAUGCGUUUCCUGAACUGUCACAUCACUGAAUGUCUAUAAAUGACCACAUUUUCCUAUUUGAUAAAUGAUGAUUAUGGGUUAAAAUAUUGCUGUAAUAAAUUUUGCAAUAAA